UUAAAUCAUGCCCCUCCUACAAUAUAUCUGCUAACAUUGGAUGGUGCAGCUGGGGUGUUACCUUCCUGUUUUUCCUAACCUGUGAAGGAAGAAGAACAAAAAAAUCAGAGUCUACUUACUCAGAGAAGAAACAGCAAUGGAUCCCAAACGACAGAAGGUGAAACUUAAUGAUGGCCACUUCAUUCCUGUCCUGGGAUUUGGAACCUAUGCACCUGAAGAGGUUGCUAAGAUGGAAGCUCUGGAAUUCACCCCAUUCUCUAUAGAGGUUGGGUUCCGCCAUAUUGACUGCGCUCAUGUGUACCAAAAUGAAGAGCAGGUUGGACAGGCCAUUCAAAGCAAGAUUGCAGAUGGCACUGUGAGGAGAGAAGACCUAUUCUGCACUUCAAAGCUUUGGUGCACUUCCUUUCGACCAGAGUUGGUCCUACCAGCCUUGGAAAAGUCACUGAAAAGUCUUCAACUGGACUAUGUUGAUCUCUAUAUUAUUCAUUAUCCACUGGCUCUGAAGCCAGGGAAGGAAUUAUUUCCAAAAGAUGAAAAUGGAAAACUGAUAUUUGACUCAGUGGAUCUCUGUCACACGUGGGAGGCCCUGGAGAGGUGUAAAGAUGCAGGGCUGACCAAGUCCAUUGGGGUGUCCAACUUCAACCACAAGCAGCUGGAGAAGAUCCUGAACAAGCCGGGGCUCAAGUACAAACCCGUCUGCAAUCAGGUGGAAUGUCACCCUUAUCUGAAUCAGAGCAAACUGUUGGAUUUCUGCAAGUCACAUGAAAUUGUUCUUGUUGCCUAUGCUGCUCUGGGAUCCCAGCGAGUAAAAGAAUGGGUGAAUCUGAACCACCCCGUUCUCCUGGAGGAUCCAGUUCUCUCUGCCAUUGCCCAAAAGCACAAGAAAACGGCAGCUCUUGUUGCCCUUCGCUACCAGAUACAACGUGGGGUUGUGGUUCUGGCCAAGGGUAACAACAAGAAGUGGAUCAAAGAGAACAUACAGGUGUUUGACUUUGAACUGACUCCAGAAGACAUGAAAGCAAUCGAUGGCCUCAACAGAAAUAUAAGAUAUUAUGAAUUUCAACUUGGCAUUGGUCAUCCUGGCUAUCCAUUUUCUGAAGAAUAUUGACUCUCAUUUCUCACCGUGGUUCUUUGAGAAUUACUUGCUUCUAGGACUAUGAAGAGGAUUUUUGUAUUUGGUGGAGGGCUGUGCUUGUGUGGACCUGUCCCUGUGGAGCCUGUGUGCACAAGGCUUUGUGGCAGAGCUGGAGCUGAGCAGGUCAGAGGUCAAUCCUUCCCAGGUUGUGUUGGCAACUGUCACCUCAGUGGGAGGGGGAAGGGCAGGCUAGAGCCAGAGCCCAGUAUGAGCAAAGGCUUCUGUGCUCAGUGGCUGUCCCCACCCUACUGGGCCAGGUGGGUCCCAAAAUGCUGGAGCAGAACUCUGAGGGUUGGGUCCAGACUGGUUCCACUCGUUGUAAGUGUGCACCCCUUGUAAGUAUGCAGCCCCAUCCCCUGCACUGCACCUUUGCCCCAGAGGGUGGCCGAGCUGGAGGAAGGCGUGUAGGAGUAGCCCCUUUACACCGCCAGAGCCCCAGACCCUGCUCCUCGGGGCCCUCUGUGAUGGCCACCCUGCCCCGUCCAGAUGUGUGGGUGUUCCUGUGUGUGUGUCCCUGUGUGUGUGUG